UCAGGAUCUUAAACUUUGAAUCCCAACCUGCUCUUCCUUGUCGUAACUAUCUUCAGGAUGGUCAGAUUAAUAUUGGCUGCUGGAUCAAUGCCCCUACAGUCAAUCUUUUCUCACCUUUUGUUGUGCAGCUGAAUUCUACUAAUAGAGACAAACCAAUAAUUCGGGAGUAUGAAAGAAUGCAAACGAUGGUCAAGUUGGACCCUCCAUAUAACCUGACAAUAAAGGCAACAAAUCACUCUGAGUUGCUUCUACAAUGGCAGUUUGACCAUGGACAUUUUCCUGUCCUCUGCAUUUGCUUCCAGGUGGAACAUCAGAAUAUGGCCAGCAAGGAGGGGAAGGUAAAGGAAGUUAGAUCAGCGCUAUUUUCUUUGCCCAGUUAUGAC